UACGGGGGGGGCAAGCGUUGUUCGGAAUUACUGGGCGUAAAGGGCUCGUAGGCGGCCAACUAAGUCAGACGUGAAAUCCCCAGGCUCAACCUGGGAACUGCGUCUGAUACUGGAUGGCUUGAAUUCGGGAGAGGGAUGCAGAUUUCCAGGUGUAGCGGUGAAAUGCGUAGAUAUCUGGAGGAAUACCGGUGGCGAAGGCGGCAUCCUGGACCGACAUUGACGCUGAUGAGCGAAAGCUAGGGGAGCAAACGGG
rnacentral:rRNA from 1 species